rnacentral:tRNA from 1 species
CCUGAUGUCUCAUGGUAGGGAAACUGCCUGAGAUGCAGGAAACCAGGGUUCGAUCCCUGGGUUAGGA